GGGGCGGCGCAGCCCCGCGCGGUUGUGGGAUCGCUCCCGGGGGCCGCUCCUCUCUCGGGCACUGGGGUCGCGGGAGACGUCGUCGGGAGCUCGGUUUCUGGAGGCCCUUCCCCACCCGGCCUCUGCCUCCUCCACUCCCCCGGGCUGGACGGAACGGGGCCCAGCGCGGGAUGCGAGAGGUAUGAUUUCGCUCUGUCGCCCAGGCUGGAGGGCAGUGGCGCAAUCUCGGCUCACUGCAGCCUCGAACUCCUAGGCUGAAGCGAUUCUCCCGCCUCAGCCUCCAAAGUAGCCGGUACUACAGGCGCGCGCCACCACGCCUGGCUAAGGUGUGUGUGUGUGUGUGUGUGUGUGUGUCUCCAAAGUAGCGAGGACUACGGGUGUGUGUGUGUGUGUGUGUCUCCAAAGUAGCGAGGACUACAGGCUCCCGCCACUACGCCAGGCUAAGGUAGGGUGUGUAUGUGUGUUAACUUUUUGUAGAGAUGGGAUCUCCCUUUGUAACACGGGCGCCCGCCACUAAGCCAGGCUAAGGUGGUGAAUGUGUGUGUGUGUGUGUGUUAACUUUUUGUAGAGAUGGGAUCUCGCUUCGUAACCCGGGCUGGUAUCGAACUCCUGUCUUCAAGGAAUCCUCCCGUCUGGACUCCUCCCAUGGGAUUACGGGCAUGAGCCACGGCACCUGGCUAUUUUUUUUUUCUAAGCAUUUAAAUAAGCUGGGGCUUGAUUUGGGAGUUUUCUAUUGUAUUUUGAGCUUUGCCGAGGACUUGAUAGUGACCUUGCUUUAAGCUGUGAAAUAAAUCUUGGGGUCCCAGAGCUAUUUUAAUAUUGAAUUCGCUGUGGAGUUGUUUUGAGUUCCUUGGAGGUUAACAUGAGAUAGAAAACUAAGUUAACACAACUCAUCGACUGCCCUUGCUUUGCUUUGCUUUGCUUUUAGAAUGCCAUCGGGUUUUGUCAUGUUGGGAACAAGUUAACUUAGGCCAGUUGACUAAGAUCAAGGUAUGUGAACAUGCCUGGCUGGGAGAGAAGUAGAGUAAAUGUUGGUUCGCAUUCCCUCCCGACGCCCACAAUGCCAGCCAUCCCUGACUUUUCUUGCCUUUAUUGGGAAGAAUAUAAGGUGGCAGAAACAAACUUCCCACCCUUUUUCCAAAUAUUUACUGAAGGAGUCUUGAGGAGAGUCUUGUGGGGUGGGGGGGUGGGGGUGGGAGCUGGGAAUGUUUUUGAACUAGUUCUUGAAAAAAAAACUAGUACAAUAGUACAACUGUCUUAAUUUUAUAUAUGAGGAAACUGAGGCCCAGAGAUGAAAUCAUGCCUUGAUUUAUGCAGACCUCAGUACCUGUUCGUGACAAAUCCAGUUACUAAAAGGUAAGAGAAGGAAUAAGGGACUUGAUAUUUAUCUAGCAUCAGCAAUGUGUGGACAUCGUGUGAACGGCUUUAUAAACAUUUCAUUUAAUUCUCUACAUCUAGCCAUUUUUUAACCUGUGCUUUCCCUCCCUCUCAAAGUACUGUUUAUACAUUUAUUAGUCCAUAUUUUAAACGCUCCAUGCUCUCAACUGUAUUAAUGCUAUUUGUUAGGAUAAGUGGCAGAUGUCCAUGGAAAAUAAGUGGCUGCAAAGUGGUAAUGCUGACCAGAUGAGAAAAGAAGUGUAAAAGGGAAGUUCUAAAGAAUUAAAGCCCUGGAGAGGGUGGGUAGACAACAACAGUCCAAAAUAGUGCUCUUCAUUGAGGCUGUGUAGAUUUUCCUGCUUCCUGGGAAAACUGGGGCAUAUUUACACUUGCAUGUGUGUAUUCAGAUUGUCUGGGGCUAUGGAGUUUGGGUCAGAUUGCUGAACCCGUGGGAGAGAAGUUCCCUUGUUGUCUGUUGUUGUCUGUUCUGAUUGCUGCUUUGUAAUUUGGGCCACAUAUGAAAGUCAGCAUCCAGUCAUUGGACCAUAGGUGUGUGGCAUAUCUACUCAGAUGCAUUAAGCUAUUUUUAUUUCAUUAUAAAAUGUAUAACAUUUACAUUCAAAUUAUGGUUUGAAGGGCUUAAGAGGAGAAAGAGACAGUGGCACUAAGGUGACAGCAUGGCUGGCUGCAUGCUUCCUGUCCAAGAAGGUCACUGGGCAGUGUUAACUGGGAAGAGCAUCUGGAGGAUGAGAGAUCAGUGUAGCCACAUACCCUUAACAAAGGGUGGUACAGCCUCUGGUCUGCCAGGAUUUUUGUGCCCCGCCCCCCUCCCCCUCUUUCCCUAUCUCCUCUUUGACAUUUCCACCAUAUUCCCCUUAGGUAUGUACCUGUUUGGACUUUAAUUUAGAGUGUAACUUUUGGUCAAGAAUCCUGGAGAGAAAAGACGGGUACUAAAGCCUCGCUAGUGAUUUACCUGGGUGCCGACCCCCACAACUCAUCCACCCUACAUGCAUACUUCAAACUCCUCCAGGCAGAUACUCCCUGCCUGACACACAGUGACACUUUGGGAAAAAUUGCAGAACAGUAACCAACUCUGAGCAGAUAAAUGUGAUGUCAAAAUGAUAGUAAUGAGAGAUGUCGUUCGUUGAAAGCCUGCUAGCUGCCAUGCACUAUACUAUUUCUUACAUCUAAAUCUGAUUAAGUUAUACCCCAUUUUAUAAAUAGACACUUUGAUAAGUAAACCUAUCUAAGAUCAAAAUACUGAGAAAUGUCCUAAUUGGGGAUUUGAACCUGGUUCUAAUUCCAAAGUCCAAGCUACAUCCACCCCAACCUCCUACCUCCUAUCUCCAAGACUUUGUGAGUAAAAAAACAAGUGUCACUUCUCUCCUUCUCUUUUUUCUGUCCUAAAGGAAGCUGGGAGCUAACCACUUAGGACUAGUACUAAUCUUUCAGAGAAAGGGAUGAGGGGAGCCUUGUUAUUUCUGUGGGGUUCAGCUCUCAGACCAGAGUAAGACAGGCAACAAGGUUGAGGAGUAGCCAUAUGCAGAAAUAACCUGUGUAUCUAGCCACAGGAUCUCCAACACUGUGUCACUCGGGAAUCAAAAUACAGAGACAGUUCCUCAAUAGAGUGUGGAUCUAGCCCAGAAUGUGGACAAGGGGAGUGGAGAAGGGGAGAGGUACACACUGAGCAUUGUAACAAGGCCUGUCCUCAAGCUUGAGGAGGAUUAGGAAGAUGGCUUGAGUCUGGGAGUAGGAGGCUGCAGUGAGCUAUGAUUGUACCACUGUACCCCAGCCUAGGUGACAGAGUGAGACCCUGUCUCUUAAAAGAAAAAAAAAAUUGACCUGGAUCUACUCAUACCCACCCUGGUCUUUGAGCAGAAAGAAUCAUUUGGGAAUUAUUUUGUCUCAUCUUUCUCCAUGAUCACUGUUGAAGAAUUUGGUCACUGUAACCAGGUAAAUAUAAAACUCAGGUGGGCCGGGCGCGGUGGUUCACACCUGUAAUCCCAGCAGUUUGGGAGGCUGAGGUGAGUGGAUCACGAGGUCAGGAGAUCAAGACCAUCCUGGCUAACACAGUGAAACCCUGUCUCUAUUAAAAAUACAAAAAAUUAGCCAGGCGUGGUGGUGGGCGCCUAUAGCUCCAGCUGCUCGGGAGGCUGAGGCAGGAGAAUGGUGUGAACCCGGGAGGUGGAGGUUGCAGUGAGCCGAGAUCGUGCCACUGCACUCCAGCCUGGGUGACAGAGCAAGACUCCGUCUCAAAAAAAACUCAGAUGAACUAUAGCUAAGUCAGUGCUCUUGACACUUUUUUAGCAAUAGUAGCUUUGUUUCUCACAGAAAAAACAAAAUUUUCUGUGGAACCACACUAUUUAAAACAUAAGCAAUAUUAGUAUCAACUUGUAUAAUUUAUAGAUCUACUGAUAAAAACAAUCAAGAAUAGUCUACCUUAAUUGAAUCAGGAGGAGAUAACUGCAGUCUUACAUCAGCCAUACUCGUAUCCAUGAAAUAUGAGUCAGUCAUUUGCACAACUCCCUGAGUCACCUUCUGGAACACAGAAAACACUGAGCCAAGUUAGCCCAGGACCUGAACCUUUUGUGGAAAGGAAAAUCUGUAGUGUCUCCUCAGAGUAUGGCUGCCCUUUCACCUGGUAGUCAGUUUCUCAUGACGGUUACUCGAGCAUUUAUAAGGCAGUUGUGAAAUAACCAAGACAUUCUGUGUGUUGUGCUACUGAUGCUCCUCCUGUCACCGACCUCCUCUCCAAAUGAGGCCUGCCUUUUGUCCUUGGUAGUAGGCAGUCCACAGUGUAACCAGCUACAGGGGAAGUAUUUACUUUGAUAGCCACUUGACCUUGAUCAAGUCAGGUGACUCAUUUCUGGAUAACAUUUUUGAGAGUAUACUGAGCCAGGCACCUUGAGGAUACGAAAGUGGAUUAUAGUUUCCAUUCUGGAGAAACUCACAGUCCAGUAAGUUAAACAAUCACAAGAACAAGUUUCCAGCAAUGAGAGUGAUUACAGCCACUGAGUGGUGAAAUCUGAGAAAUGCAAAGCCUGCCGCCUAUAAAUACCUACAUUUAUCGCCUGGGCAUAUACCUAAAAUUCCACCAUGAGAAAUAUAUUUAUAUGAAAUUAGAAACUACCCAGAAAUUGUGCGUCCAAAUAAAAAUUCCCACAAGAAAUAAGGAUGGCUAAUAGUUUUAAGUAGUAGUGUCAAGUCUUUUGGACCAGAGUAACUGCCAGGGACGUUGUGUUGAGGAUUCUGAGGUCAUGUUCCAGCUUAGCCGAGAAGGGAGCCACCAUGAGGGAACGAGUGAGGGAGGGUAGCACUUGUGCCCCAUAUUUUUUCCUAAGUAAAUCAUUUGUUGAUGGAAUGCAUGAUGAAACAGGGACAGCCAGGGUCUCUGGCAUCUGGGAGAAAGCCCACUUGGAAACUGAUUUAUCUACCUCACCACUGCAAGUUCACCAUUUGUCCCCAGACUAAAUGGCCUUAGGAAGCCCAGGCUCUGUCUUGUCGAACUCUACCUUCUUUAUCCUUCCAUACUUUUCAAGAAGAGAAAUGGUAUAUAUAUGUGGGAUCCUUGAGAACUAGGAUGUACCUGUGAGCAGGCAAAGUGUAGCAUCUAGCAGGGUCAGGCAUAAGUUGGAAGUGAGAGAGGUGGCUACUGUGCUCCCCAAUGGCUGUUCUCCCAUCUCCCAUAGUUUCAAGGCCUGUUUUGUGAGGAACAGCAGUAUGCCCAGCUCAAAGAUGACAGCUGGCCACAGGACUAAGUCUGGCCAAUAAGAUGUGAGUGGACGCUUCCAGAAAAGCUCUCUAAAGAGGCUACCUCUAGCCAGGCGCAGUGGCUCACGCCUGUAAUCCUAGCACUUUGGGAGGCCAAGGCAGUGGAUCACCUGAGGUCGAGAGUUCAAGACCAGCCUGGCCAACAUGGCAAAACCCCGUCUCUACUAAACAUACAAAAAUUAGCCGGGCAUGGCCGUGCCGCAUGCCUGUAAUCCCAGCUACUCAGGAGGCUGAGGAGGGAGAACUGCUUGAACCCAGGAGGUGGAGGUUUGCAGUGAGCUGAGAUGUUGCCACUGCACUCCAGCCUGCACGACAGGAGCGAGCCUCCAUCUCAAAAAAAAAAAAAAAAUAAAAGCUGCCUCUUCUCUGCUUCUUGGAGUAUGGUCAGGAUAGCUGGAAUUCUAGCAUCCAGUUUUGAAUGCCAAGUGACCUUGAAGAUAGAAGCCAUGAACUAAGAUAAUGUCCCUGUGUAAGCUUCUUUUACAUGAGAGAAAUAAACUGUGUGUAUAAAUCAUUGUUAUUUUGAAUUCCCAAGUUGUAUGCAGGCAAAUGUAAUCCCGAUCUAGCCAGGAAUUGGUAUUAUUCAUUGAUAAGAGCUUCAUAUAUUCAUGUUGACAGUUUUCCUUGAUUGGCCCCCAGAUGAUAGGUAUUGUGACCAAGACCUGUGGGGCUAUCAUGUGUACUUGGCUCCCUAUAGGAGAAUCCAGGAUGGAAUGGAAUGAUACAGUAGGCAGCCUCUGGAGCCAAGAUACGGUAUAGGUAGGAAAAAGAAAUGAUUCACCCAAGAGGCAGAUUAGGCCCAUGAAAAUUAGGAUUGUCAGAUGCAUUACUUUAAUACAGCACUUCUUCAGUAUUCCCAGAACUGUAGCUAAUGGUUCCUCUGAAUAGGAAGCUCCUUGAAUAUACCCUGGCAAGAAAUCUUUCUAUCCAAGGUGACUGGCAUUGGGAGGGGAUUUAUUGAGUGUCUCCCUCGAGCCAGGCACUUUCACAUACCUUAAUCUUAGUUAACUGGCUUCACUUCAGACCCUGUCCCUAACAGGACAAAACCCAACAGCAUUUUGAAAGCAAAACAGGGAUAGUUGAUGAGUUGUAUUAACGUACUUGUCUCUGUCUCACGUUAGUAACCUCCAAGGAACUCAAAACGCACUGCAGCUAUAAUUCGACAUUAAAAUAGCCCUGGGCCCCCCAGGAGCAGCUCAAUAGACCCUACUGAAGCAGGCGGUCCUGUCCCUCCCCUGCUUAAAAUCUGUCAGUAGCUUCUCAUUGUUUUUAACUAAAAACCCAGCCCACCUGACAGUCAGGUUGGCCUGCUCGCCAGGCUUUCUCCCCAGCUGCUCAAACCUGCUCACAACUCCCUCUGUGUCUGCCACUCUGGCCUCUCACUUUACUCCUGUGACCUCGUCCCUCUGAGCACCAUUCCUCCCCACCUCUGCAUGUCUUUAAUCUGACUUAAGCUUCAAGGCCUGGCACAAACAAUGCUUUUCCUUUGUCCUUCAUACUGGAGAUCAUAAACUCGCAUAGAUUCUCUCUGAAUAAAUAAAUAUUUUCCAUGCCAGUUAGCAUUUUUUUAAAACUAUAAUGACUGCAAAAUAUAUUGUAUUAGGUGUACUCUAACUUAUUUAACCUCUCCCCAAAGAAUGGACAUUUCAUUUGUUUCUUUUUCAGGAUGAUAAAAAACAGUUACGGGAUGAAAAAAUUUUUUUUUAUUUUUUAUUUUUAGUAGAGAUGGGGUUUCACCAUGUUAGCCAGGAUGAUCUCGAUCUCCUGACCUUGUGAUCCACCCAUCUGGGCCUCCCAAAGUGCUGGGAUUACAGGCAUGAGCCACUGCACCCGGCCGGGGAUGAACAUUUUUAUAUGCUAAUCUUUGUCAGCAUCUGCUCAUUUCUAUAAAAGGAAUCAUUAGAAUUGGAAUUCCUAGGUCAUUUUGACCAAAAAGGAACAUUUUUAAAUCUCUUAAUAUUGCCAUAUGACAUCUUAGAAAGUUUACAUCAUUUUACACAAAUAAUUGUUUCCUUAUCGAUGUUCCAAACCUAGAGAACUUUUGGUCAUUCUGUGAUCUGUAAUUGGAGAAAUUUCCAUUGCUCUAGCAGCAUUUUAUACAUACUUAUCAAGAUGUAUUAUGAUUUAUACACAUUUAUCAAGAUGUAUUAUGUUUUACUUGCAUUUCUCCAAGUAAGCUCUGAAGUGGAAAACAGAACUUGUUUUACUCUUUGUAGCACAGUACUGAGAACAGUAACACCUAACAGGCCCUUUCUAGGUAAAUCUGCAGAAACAGUAAUUGUCUCAAUCUCAGUUUCCCUGUGGUAGACCAAAAUAAAGCUUUGCAUACCUAACCUAGGGAAGCUGCAUACAGUUGGAGAGCUGGAUUCAACUAAACCUGGCCUGACAGCUCUUCAACAUGUUUUUCUUUUCCAAGUUCCACAUUGCUCACUGUGUCCUUUUAACACUCCUGUUUUUUAUUUUAUCCAUCACACGAAGUUGUAGUUGGUUCUGCCUGCAGUGUUUCUCCAUGAUGUAAUAUAACCUCAUUAUAUACACUCAGGAGCCUGAGAAAUGAGUAUCACAAACCACAGAGUCUUCUUGUUGCUUAGUUACUAUCCUGCAUUUCCUGGAGACUUUACCUUGGCAAAGUAUAUGAUGCUACGUUUUAAUGAAUGUUGAUUGGUCACUGUAUGAUAAAUGCCAGGAAAAACAAUGAAUGAUAAAAAGAAGUGUAAAUCCCACUCUUCUGCCUAUAUCCCAGCUCCAUUUUCACGUCUUUUGGUAUCAGCCCCAGGAUUUGGGGUCUUCUGUUUGAAAAUGAGAUCAGUUCCGUAACAUCUGUAUAGCUUUGCUUGCUAUGGUACUGGGCUGGAAAGAGGCAGGUCAAAGCGAGUGCCCCCCUCACUGGUGUGCCCUGAGGAUGCAGAGGCCCUCUUUGCCUGGUGAUAACACCUUCAAUGCCCGUUAGGGGGCCCAAAAUUGCCAGUUUAUUAUCCCUUUGGGACUGAUGCCUUAAAAUCUCAUUUUGUCUUUGAGAAGUGGUAUUUGGAAUAUUCACACAUCAAAGUGUUAUCGUUCUCUGCUAGCACAGUACCAGCUAGUUUAUCUUAGCCAGCUGGCUUACCUCUCAAGGCACUAAAGGAACGGAAAAACACAGGGCAAUCUCUGUAAGCCUCGUUCCUUCACUUGGUAACCUCUGAAAAGCUAGAGAGAAAGGACCAGUGAGAGAACAGGAUCAGCUCUUGCUGGGGGUCCAGCCAGGAGCCACCAUGGAGGGCCUGGAGCACUUAGAGGAAAACAUGGGGACAUCAGGUAUGCAGGAGAUCAGGCAAAAAACAGUAAAGUCAGCUUAGGAAAGACUCGUACCUCUCACCCCCACUGCCUCAACCUCCUCCAAAGUGUAGAGUUCAUAGCUUUUCCUUGGGAAGCUUCUGUGUAUACAGUGCUCAACAGAAGAGAGGAACAGGAUUUAGGUUACUAUCUUCCAUACCCUAAAAGUGAACAUUGUAAUAUUGCAAAUACAGUAGCAGAAGGAAAGCACUUCUCAGGAAGUAAAAAUACAUCUACUCCUGCUAACAGUUUUCUCCAUUCACAAAAUAUUACUGAUUUUUUUAAAAUUUGGAAAGAAUAUUAAUAUUCAUAGAUGUUAGAUUAGUUGGGCAAAAUAUGCUAAAAAUUGCCAUUUAAUUUAUAAUAGUGAAAAACAAUGCAACCUAAAUGCCCAUGAAUGAUAACUAAUUACAUACAGUGGACUACAAUGGAAUUCUAUGAAGUCAUAAAAAUAAGGAUGUACAUCUGUAUUUAUUGUUAUAGAAAGAAAGCCACGAAAUAUUGUUGAGAGAGAAAGCAGAUUGCAAAACUGAAUAUAUAUGCAAAGAGAUGUUUUUAGGGAUAUUCACUGUUAAACAGUGAUUAACUUAGUUGACUUUUUUUUCCUCUGUUCCUUCUUUUUUCUUUUUUACUUUAAAUAUUUAUCUUUUUUAAAAGAAAUAAUACAUUUCCUCCCUCCAAAAAAGAAUAGCCUAGCGAAAUAUUUUUACUUCAAAUGCUUUUCCCCUUAUUAAUCUUUGUAUAAACCAUUGUGGUUUGCUAAAACAAGGAAGGUUGUAGAGUAGAAUCCAUGCCCACGUUAGAACAAAAUCCAGGCAGGAAGACACUUCAUACGUGGUUAUAAGACCAGGAGGACGAGGAGACAAAGGGAAGCAAUGGUGUUUGUUUGUUUGUUUGUUUGUUUUAAGAGACAGUGUCACUCUGUCACCCAGGUUGGAGUACAGUGGCACCAUCAUAGCUCAGUGCAGCCUCCAACCCCUGGGUUCCAGCGAUCCUCCCACCUAAGCCUCUCUAGUAUCUGGGACUACCGGUAUGCACCACCACAUCCAGCCAAUUUUUAAUUUUUCUUUUUUUGAGACAGGGUCUUGCUAUGUUGCCCAGGCUGGUCUCAAACUCCUAGGCUCAAGCAAACCUCCCAAAGCACUGGGAUUACACGUGUGAGCCACCACACCCGGCCUAGAAGCAAUGGUUCUGAUCCAGGAAAAGUGCAGCCUGGAAACUCAGCAAUCUGUACAGAAUCCUAGCUCUUAGACUAAAAGGCAUCAACUGGUACAAUUUCUUGCCUUUGGGCACUGAACGUGUUAGCUUCUAUUUUAUUUAACUUACUGUAAAAUUAUAUUAGCUAUGCUGCCACUUAAGCCAAGAUGCUUUCUGUCUAGUCACUUCGGUUCCAUCCUUUUGAGCGCCCUGCCGUUUCAUUGCCUCUCCUUUCUCAUUCCUCUCCCCAAGGCUGUACUUUGAGUAACUGUAUGUGCAUUUUCCUGUGCCUUUUCAUUAUUAAAACACUGUAAAAGGUAAUGUCUCCAAAAUGCAAACCAUAGUCUUCUCCAUUGAAAAAUAUUUUCCAGGCCAGGCACUCCACUGUGCCACUGCACUCCACCUGGAUGACAGAGUGAGACUCUGUCUCAAAAAAAAAACAAAAAACUCAUUAAACUGUAAAAUGGGCGCAUUUUAUUUUAUGUAAACUGUAUCUCAGUAAAGUUUAUUUAUUUAUUUUUGAGACAAAGUCUUGCCCUGUUGCCUAGGUUAAAGUGCAGUGGCAUAAUCAUGGCUCCCUGCAGCCUUGAACUCCUGGGCUCAAGCGAUCCUCCUACCUCAGCCUCCUCCCAAGUAUUUGGGACCACGGGCAUGUGCCACCAUGCCCAGCUAAUUUUUUUUUAAGAGAUGGCGUCUUGCUAUGUUGCCCAGGCUGGUCUCGAACUUCUGACCACAAGAGAUCCUCCUGUCUUGGCUUCCCAAAGUUUUGGGAUUACAGGCAUGAACCACCAGGCCUGACCAAAGUUGAUUUUAAAAAAUGAAAGGGGGGCCAAGCGCAGUGACUCAACCCUUAUAAUCCCAGCACUUUGGGAGGCCGAGGCGGGUGGAUCACCUGAGAUAGGGAGUUCAAGACCAGCCUGAUCAACAUGGAGAAACUCUGUCUCUACUAAAAAAUACAAAAUUAGCUGGGAGUGGUGGCGCAUGCCUGUAAUCCCAGCUACUCGGGAGGCCUCAGCUUGAACCCUGUAGGCAGAGGCUGCAGUGAGCUGAGAUCACGCCAUUGCACUCCAGCCUGAGCAACAAGAGCGAAACUCUGUCUCAAAAAAAAAAAAAAAAAGGGUCUGUGCUUGGUGGCUCACACCUGCAAUCCCAGCACUUUGGGAGGCCAAGGUGGGUGAAUCACCUGAGGUCAGGAGUUCGAGACCAGCCUGGCCAACGUGGUGAAACCCCUCUCUACUAAAAAUAAAAAAAUUAGCCAGGUGUGAUGGCGCACGCCUGUAGUCCCAGCUACUCAGGAGGCUGAGGCACAAGAAUUGCUUGAACCUAGGAGGCAGAGGUUGCAGUGAGCCGAGAUCAUGCCACUGCAUUCCAGCCUGGGUGACAGAGUGAGACUCCAUCUCAAAAAACAACAAAAAUGAAAGGGAAAUAAGAGUCAUUACCAAUAUAAUUAGGUUUAAAUUUUUAGUUAAAAUCAAAUUUUAACUGGGAUUGCCAAAAAUGUCCUUAACUUCAUAUCUCCAAAUAAAAUGUCUGCAGUUAAUUUAUGUUGUUUAUACAGCUAGCUAAUUCUCUAUAUUUUUAUAGUAUGUUGACACUUAAAAUUUCAAUCUCUUCUAGUGGUUCCAUGAGUGGGACUGAGGGGAUGAUGGGUGUUCUCAUUAUAGCCUUCAGAAGGCUGCCUAUAUAUAAGUGUGCACAAAUAACUAUUAUUCAGAGAAUUAGAAUCAUCACAAAAUAUCCUUUAUGAAGGAUAAAUAUAGGCUAAUUUAUCCUUUAUGACUGUUAAAUAUAGGCUAAUGUUUCUUUUAUUCUUCAGACCCAUUUCAACUUUAUAGAAAAAAAAGUAUGCACAAAAGCAGCACUCUAUAAUUAAAAAAAAUUCCUUAUUGGUCUUUUGGAUUUUGGUUCUGCAUAAGUAUGAGUUUCUCAUCAGGCCUCUCUAGACUACUAAAGCCUAAAGUGAUGCUUCCCCCAUCUCAGCUCUUAGAGGAAUUACUGGGUGUCUUGUUUAUUUGGCAAUUCCGUGCUUACAAACUCUUUUCAAUGAGAUCUUCAGCUCCUUGAGACCACAGUAGAUACCUACGUAUUUGUCGGUGUAAUUUUGUUGUGUUGAUUUACUGAAUUCAAAGGGUUUGUACAAAUACUUUGUUUACAGGGUUUCAUUACAAAUCCAAAUAAGCUCAUAUGCUUAGUAAUUCCAAAAAUGUUAUAGGUAUUCAGAUUAGCAUUGCUCAUUCAUGCCAUUUAAUUUACAGAGCUCAGCUGCAGUAAUUUUCUCCAGUGGAUGAUGUAAGGAAGGCAUUGGCAGAGGAGUAAGAGACUUGGCUUCAGAGUGGGCAGUAAUAGGGCUAAAUCUGGUUUUACAAAGCAGGUACUGUAAAGCUCUCAUUGCCUUUCUGAGGACAAGGCUUUGAGCUAUGAGUGCCAGGGUCGUCUGUCUAAGUGGAGGCUUCUUAAAGGAAUUGAGCCUCGUUUCCUGGGUUUGAGGUGUAUUCUUUUUCACAUUCCCUUUGUACACCAAAUAUAUUUAGUAUUUAUUAUCUUUGAAGUUUAGACCUUUGGAAUUUUUUUUUUUUUUUGAGGCAAAGUCUCACUGUAGCCCAGGCUGGAGUGCAGUGGUGUGAUCUCAGCUCAUUGCAACCUCUGCCUCCUAGGUUCAAGCGAUUCUCCUAUAUCAGCCUCCUGAGUAGCGAGGACUACAGGCACGUGCCCACCAUGCCCUGCUAAUUUUUGUAUUUUUAGUAGAGACAGGGUUUCACCAUGUUGGCCAGGCUGGUCUCAAACUCCUGACCUCAGGUGAUCUGCCUUCCCUGGCCUCCGGACAUGCUGGGAUUACAGGUGGGAGCCACCACGCCAGGCCACAGUUUGAUGAGUUUUGAGAAAGUAAUAUACGCAUGUAACCACCAUCACCACAAUCAAGAUCUAGAACAUUUCCAUCACCCCAAAAUUCCCUGGUACUCGUCCCUGGUCCCAGGCAAGCCCUGAUCUGUUUUCUGUCACUGUGGAUCAGAUUUGUCUUUUCUAGAGUCUCAUAAAAAUGUGAUCUUAUAAAAUGUAUAGACUCUUGUGUGUAAGGUUUCUUUUCCUCAGCAUAAUGUUUUUAGACUUGUCUAUGUUGCAUGAAUGAGUGGUUCAUUUCUGUUUAUCACUGAGUAUUUUUCCAGUGUAUGUAUAUACCACAAUUUGUUUAUAUACCACAAAUGUUGAUGGACAUUUAGGCUUUGUCCAGUUUUGUCUAUUAUGAAUAAAGCCAUUAUGAACAUCUAUGUACAAGUUUUUGUGUGGACAUGUUUUCUCUUGGGUAAAUAUCUAGGAGUAAGACUACUGGGUUGUAUGCUAAGUGUAUGUUUAAUUUUAAAAGAAAUGGCAGCCGAGUGCGGUGGCUCAUGCCUGUAAUCUUAGCAAUUUGGGAGGCCGAGGCGGGCAGAUCACCUGAGGUCAGGAGUUCGAGACCAGCCUGGCCAACAUGACGAAACCCUGUGUCUACUAAAAAUACAAAAAAAAUUUGCCACGCAUGGUGGCACACACCUGUAAUCCCGCUACUUGGGAGGCUAAGGCAGGAGAAUCGCUUGAACCUGGGAGGUGGAGGUGAGACUGAGCCAAGCUCACACCACUGUACUCCAGCCUGAGCGACAGAGCGAGACUCCAUCUCAAAAAAAAUAAAAAAUGGCCAAACUGUUUUCCAAAGUCCUGGUACCAUCUUACAUCCUACCGGUAAAGUUAUGAGAGUUGUAGUUGCCCUACAUUCUCACCAAUACUUGCUAUUAUCAGUCUUUUUAAUUUUCACCAUCCUAAUGGAUACGUAGUGGUAUCUCACUGUGGUUUUACUUUGCAUUUCCCUGAUGGCUAAUGAUGUUGACAUAUUUUUGUGUGCAUGUUGGAUACUAAUAUAUCUUUGUAAAGUGCCUAUUCAGUGUCUUUUCCAAUUUAGUUGGGUUGCUAAAAAGUCUUCAUAUAUUCCAGAUACAAUACCUUUGGCAGGUAUGUAGAUAUGUGUUGUGUGACUAUUUUCUCCCAGUCUGUGACUUGUCUUCAUUUUGUUAGCAUUGUCUUUUGAAGAGCAGAAGUCUUUAACUUUGUAAAAGUCUAAUUUUUUGCUAUCUUCUUUUAUAGCUCUUGUCUUUUUUUGUUUUUUUGUGUGUGUGUAUUCAAUUAUCUAAGAACUCUUUGACUCCCUUCAGAUCAUGUAAAUGUUCUCCUGUUUUAUUUUAGAAAUUUUAAUUUUACCUUUUUUUUUUUUUUUGAGACAGAGUCUUGCUCUGUCACCCAGGCUGGAGUGUAGUGACGUGAUCUCAGCUCACCGCAGCCUCUGCCUCCCAGGUUCCAGCAAUUCUGCCUCAGCUUCCCAAGUAGCUGGGACUACAGGAGGCAAGCACUGCGAUGCCCAGCUAAUUUUUGUAUUUUUAGUAGAGACAGGGUUUCACCAUGUUGGCCAGUAUGGUCUUGAUCUCCUGACCUGGUGAUCCACCCGCUUCGUUCUCCCAUAGUGCUGGGAUUACAGGCGUGAGCCACCGCACCCAUCCAAGUUUUACCUUUUAAGCUUAGGUACAUGAUCCAAUUUGAGGUGAAUUUUGUGUAUGAGUAAGUUAAUAAUCAAUGUUCAUUUUUUCCCAUAUGGAUAUCCAGUUUUUCCGGUACCAUUUGUUGAAAAGACUGUCUUUCCCCUAUUGACUUACUGUGGCCACUUUGUCAAAAAUUACUUGCCCAUAGACAUGCGGGUUCAUUUAUUUUGUUCCAUUGAUCCAAAUGUUGAUCCUUUAAUAAUAAUGUAGCUUUAUAGUCAGUCUUGAAAUUUGAUAGUUUGAAUAUUCCAACUUUGUUGUUCUUUUUCAAAAAUUUUUUGCAUUCUAAGUCCUUUGUGUUUUUAUAUAAAUUUUAGAAUAAGUUAUGUAAGUGCCUGCUGGGAUUUUCUUUUUUUUGAGACAGGGUCUUACUAUGUCACCCAGACUGAAGUGCAGUGGCAUGAUCACAGGUCAUUGCAUCCUCAACCACCCAGACUCAAGCAAUCCUCCUGUCUCAGCCUUCCAAGUAACUGAGACCACAGACAAAGCCUCACUCUGUCACCCAGACUGGAGUGCAGUGGUAUAAUCAUAGCUCACUACAGCCUUGACCUCCUGAGCUCAAGCAGUCCUCCUGUCUCAGCCUCCCAAGUAGCUGGGAUGACAGUGUGCACCACCACACCCAGCUAAUUUUUUUUUUUUUGGUCUUGCUGUGUUGCCCGGGCUGGACUCAAGUGAUCUUCCCUUCUCAGCCUCUCAAAGUGCUGGAAUUACAGGCAUGAGCCACCGUGCCCAGCCAGAGAAAUAACCAUGGAUAUGGGUAGAGACAGAGCCAUAUGGAAUGCACACUGCAGUGGUGAACACAUGGCCCAGCUCUGCCAUCAAGGAGAAGGUGAGAACAUGGGGGAAGAUUUUAUCGAAGUUUCUUUUCUGGGGCAUAUGCUCAGGUUAAACACCUGCUCUGUAUCUCUAGCUUCUGACUCCUACCCCUGGCCAGCUCUGUUACUCUAGUACACUGCUAGGCAGGCAGAGUAUGGCCAAAGUAUUCACAACAGUGCAUCACUAAAUCAACUGGGAUCCACACAAUGGAAUAUCCUAAUGCAUCAUUAAAAAUCACAUUGUAAAAGAAGAUUUUAUAACAGAAAAAAAUGCACUGUAUAUGAUACAUUUUUAAAAUGUUACUUAUGCCAGUCACAAUAAAAGACAAUUACACUUAUAUGGGAUAGAGUAGUCAAUAUUAUAGAGACAGAAGGUAGAAAUGGGUCUGGGUGGAAAUUAGAAUGAGAUGUUCUUAGCAUUCCAGUUUUACAAGAUGAAAAGAGUAACGGAGACAGAUGGCAGUGGUGGUUGCAUGACAUUAUGAAUGUACAUAAUUAAAAAUGGGUAAGAUGGCACAGUGAGAUACCAUCUCACACCAGUCAAAAUGGCUAUUACUAAAAAGUCAAAAAAAUAACAGAUGCUGGGGAGCUUGUAGAGAAAAGGGAAUGCUUAUACACUGCUAGUGGCAGUGUAAGUUAGUCCAGCCACUGUGGCAAUUCCUCAAAGAACUUAGAACUAUCAUUUGACCCAGCAAUCCCAUUACUGGGUAUAUACCCAAAGGAAUAUAAAUUGUUCUGCCUUAAAGACACAUGCAUGUGAUUGUUCAUUGCAGCACUCUUUAUAAUAACAAAGACAUGGAAUCAACCUAAAUGCUCAUCAACAGUAGACUGGAUAAAGAAAAUGUGGUUCAUAUACACCAUGGAAUACUAUGCAGCCAUAAAAAAGAAUGAGAUUAUUUCCUUUGCAGGAACAUGAAUGGAGCUGGAGGCCAUCAUCCUUAGUGAACUAACACAGGAGCAGAAAACCAAAUACCACAUGUUCUCAUGUGUAAGUGGGAGCUAAAUGAUGAGAACACAUGGACACAAAGAGGGGAACAACAGACACUGAAGCCUCCUUGAGGGAGGAGGGUAAGAGGAAGGAGAAGAUCAGAAAAGAUAACUACCAGGUACUAUGGUAGCUUAGUACCUGGGUGAUGAAAUAAUCUGUACACCCAACCCUCAUGACAGAAGUUUACCUGUGUAACAAACCUGCACAUGUAUCCCUGAAACUAAAAGUUUUUUAAAAAGUUAUUUAAUAUAUAUAUAUUUUUUUGAGACGGAGUUUUGCUCUUGUUGCCCAGGCUGGAGUGCGGUGGCGCAAUUUCGGCUCACCACAACCUCCGCCUCCCAGGUUCAAGCUAUUCCCCUGCCUCAGCCUCCCUAGUAGCUGGGAUUACAGGCUUGUGCCACCACGCCGGCUAAUUUUGUAUUUUUUGUAGAGACGGGGUUUCUCCAUGUUGGUCAGGCUGGUCUCGAACUCCCGACCUCAGGUGAUCCACCCCCCUCGGCCUCCCAAAGUGCUAGGAUUACAGGCAUGAGCCACUGCGCCCGGCAAAAAGUUAUUUAAUAUUAAUGGGACAAUACUCAUUGCAAGAAUCAGACUUCAAUUGCUAGCAUAAGUAAAUGACAGGCAGGAGAUAUUGAAAAUGCAAUCUUAUAGACAUUCAAGGAGAGGACGCAGGACAUUUCUGUGUCAUAAAUGUACUAUGGAAAAUAAAAAUGAGAAAAAUGGAAAUAAAAUACAAGAAAAGGUUAUGAUAAAUUUCAUAUUAUUUUACCACAAUAAAAAAAUUUUAAUAAAUUAUAAAUGGUGUGAUAUGUUUUGCCUGUGUUCCACCCAAAUCUCAUCUUGAAUUAGAGCUCCCACAAUUCCCACGUGUUGUGGCUGGGACCCUGUGGGAGAUAAUUGAAUCAUGGGGGCAGUUUACCCCAUACUGUUCUCUUGGUGGUGAAUAAGUCUCAUGAGAGUUGAUGGUUUGAUAAGGGGUUUCCCCUUUUGCUUGGCUCUCAUUCUCUCUUGACUGCCACCAUGUAAGAUGUGCCUUUUGCCUUCCACCAUGAUUGUGAAGCCUCCCAGCCACAUGGAACUGUGAGUCCAUUAAACCUUUUUCUUUACAAAUUACCCAGUCUCGAGUAUGUCUUUAUCAGCAGUGAGAGAACAGACUAAUAUGAGUGUGAUCUAAUUAACAUAAAGGGAGAAUGAGGA
rnacentral:lncRNA from 1 species